UACGUAGGGUCCGAGCGUUGUCCGGAAUUAUUGGGCGUAAAGAGCUCGUAGGCGGUUUGUCGCGUCUGCUGUGAAAUCCCGAGGCUCAACCUCGGGCCUGCAGUGGGUACGGGCAGACUGGAGUGCGGUAGGGGGAGAAUGGAAUUCCUGGUGUAGCGGUGAAAUGCGCAGAUAUCAGGAGGAACACCGAUGGCGAAGGGCAG
rnacentral:rRNA from 1 species